rnacentral:rRNA from 1 species
ACUCCUACGGGAGGCAGCAGUAGGGAAUCUUCGGCAAUGGACGAAAGUCUGACCGAGCAACGCCGCGUGAGUGAAGAAGGUUUUCGGAUCGUAAAACUCUGUUGUUAGAGAAGAACAAGGACGUUAGUAACUGAACGUCCCCUGACGGUAUCUAACCAGAAAGCCACGGCUAACUACGUGCCAGCAGCCGCGGUAAUACGUAGGUGGCAAGCGUUGUCCGGAUUUAUUGGGCGUAAAGCGAGCGCAGGCGGUUUCUUAAGUCUGAUGUGAAAGCCCCCGGCUCAACCGGGGAGGGUCAUUGGAAACUGGGAGACUUGAGUGCAGAAGAGGAGAGUGGAAUUCCAUGUGUAGCGGUGAAAUGCGUAGAUAUAUGGAGGAACACCAGUGGCGAAGGCGGCUCUCUGGUCUGUAACUGACGCUGAGGCUCGAAAGCGUGGGGAGCAAACAGGAUUAGAUACCCUGGUAGUCCACGCCGUAAACGAUGAGUGCUAAGUGUUGGAGGGUUUCCGCCCUUCAGUGCUGCAGCAAACGCAUUAAGCACUCCGCCUGGGGAGUACGACCGCAAGGUUGAAACUCAAAGGAAUUGACGGGGGCCCGCACAAGCGGUGGAGCAUGUGGUUUAAUUCGAAGCAACGCGAAGAACCUUACCAGGUCUUGACAUCCUUUGACCACUCUAGAGAUAGAGCUUUCCCUUCGGGGACAAAGUGACAGGUGGUGCAUGGUUGUCGUCAGCUCGUGUCGUGAGAUGUUGGGUUAAGUCCCGCAACGAGCGCAACCCUUAUUGUUAGUUGCCAUCAUUUAGUUGGGUACUCUAGCGAGACUGCCGGUGACAAACCGGAGGAAGGUGGGGAUGACGUCAAAUCAUCAUGCCCCUUAUGACCUGGGCUACACACGUGCUACAAUGGGAAGUACAACGAGUCGCUAGACCGCGAGGUCAUGCAAAUCUCUUAAAGCUUCUCUCAGUUCGGAUUGCAGGCUGCAACUCGCCUGCAUGAAGCCGGAAUCGCUAGUAAUCGCGGAUCAGCACGCCGCGGUGAAUACGUUCCCGGGCCUUGUACACACCGCCCGUCACACCACGAGAGUUUGUAACACCCGAAGUCGGUGAGGUAACCUUUUUGGAGCCAGCCGCCUAAGGUGGGAUAGAUGAUUGGGGUGAAGUCGUAACAAGGUAGCCGUAUCGGAAGGUGCGGCUGGAUCACCU